GGUGAGUAAUCAAUCCUUAUCCCUUUUUGCGCGACUAAGUAAAACUUGUAAGCUUUAAGAUUCUGCCCAGGUGUCGGCAGCUGGGACAUUUCUAAGCUAGUUGCUUUCUAAGUUUUUACUGGACCUGCUUUUCCACUUCAGGCAGUCAUGAAGUUGUCCACAUCUUAGAUGAAUUCAUGACGAGAGACGCCUCUCGCUUUAGAAAAAGAGCGUAGAGUAGCUCAUUCCAUGAAUCCGGAACUCCAGGUAGGCACCAGUGGCUGCAGUCCUGUCUACUGUGAGACGAAUGGGGGACAAGAUAAUAAAUAGAUGAAUGUCCAUCUUUUCUUCUUGAUGUCAUAUUACUAACAUCUAGCACUUCUAAUUGGCUACCGUGCGAUUUGCUCAACUGGGAUGAUAACACUUCUUUAAAUAUGUUGUAGUUUCCUAAACUGUAAGAUGGCACUUUGUACGUGUCUGGUUCUGGCAGUUUCUCCUCGUGGCAGCCUCCGCCAUGUCUCCAAUCCCCGCCUCUGUAUCAUCAACAUCAUCUUUAGUUUAGGCUUAACUUUUGUACAUAGAAAAGAGUAGGAAAUUAGACAAUCAAACCAAAACGUGGACUUGCAGCAAACCUGAAAUGUACAGGGGAAUAUGUGCGAAAAAAGACUUGAGUCUUGUUUGUAUUUACUUCCCGCUGUAUAAAGCCUAUGACAGUAUCUAAGGACUUCCGAUAUGCAGCA